UUCUUAUCUGAAUUUCUGUUUUCGCAUUCCCCUCUUGAAACUAACGCAUAAAACUUUCAAUCGCAAAUGUUAUUUUGUGAUCGCCAAUGUUAUCUAUUUCGGUAAUCUCAAAACUAGUGACAGAAAUGAGAUGGGAAAAGUCGAAAGUGUGAUAAAACUUUUGAAACUCAUAUUUAACGUUUUCGGGAUUCCUCUUCACCAAAGGAGAAAAAAAAAAAGGUCAAAAUUACUAUCUGUAGAUGAAUGUAUGAAUGGGUCGGCUCUAUAAGCGUGCUGUGACGUGUGUGUUGCUGAAGUCGUAUUCUUAGCUAUAGAUGGAGCCACCGAAUCCAAGAAACGCACCCCCUGCCCUAAAUUCGCUUGGUUUCACCAACCAGGCUCACUAGUAUUAGCAAGUAGCAUUAGAAACAACAACUAUUUGAUAAUUGUAGAACGGUUAGGAAGUUUAUAUAUUGAUUUAAAUAUGUUUAUCACAAAAUAUCUCUCAAUACAGUGAUAUUAUAUAGGAUUGCUUUAUAAUAAAGAAACAUA